AACCAGCUCUUCAAGUGGUCGGGAUAAUUAUUGGGCUUAAAGUGUCCGUAGCUGGUAGGGUAAGUUCCUGGUAAAAUUGGGCAGCUUAACUGUCCUUAUGCUAGGAAUACUACUCUCCUAGAGGGCGGGAGAAGUCUGAGGUACUACAGGGGUAGGGGUGAAAUCUUAUAAUCCUUGUAGGACCACCAGUGGCGAAAGCGUCAGACCGAAACGCGCCUGACAGUGAGGGACGAAAGCCAGGGGAGCGAACCGGAUUAGAUACCCGGGUAGUCCUGGCCGUAACGAUGCGCACUAGGUGAUGGUGCGGCUAUGAGCCGCAUCAGUGUCGUAGGGAAACCGUUAAGUGUGCCGCCUGGGAAGUAUGGUCGCAAGGCUUAAACUUAAAGGAAUUGGCGGGGGAGCACCACAAGGGGUGAAGCCUGCGGUUC
rnacentral:rRNA from 1 species